CUGAGUGCAAAAACACGAGAUAGUUGGUGCGCGCUCAGACAGAGACGUUAUAUCGUAAAAUUGAACUGCGCAGCAGAGGCCGAUAGACGUUCUUGUAUAUUAAAUACUGCCGCGAUUAGUUGGCAGUGAUAUAUAUGAUACUAUAGAACUGCCUAGUGCGUUUCGCGUAAUGUGCGGGUUUUGGAACUUACAGCGAUUUACAUGGGAUUAGUACAUCAAGCAACAGGACCUUACAACUGGAUAACAUGGCUCGAGGAACCCGUAAUAGAAUCGCACCAAAGGCUGACUAAAGGACAGUAAAUAAAUGCAAGCUUAAAGGUUCUCAUGCGAAAAGCCUUAGUCAACUUCUACACAUAAAUUUAAAGGUGAUAUCGCCAAAAAUUCAAGCCAUUUAUAGCUGCUAUAGAAAUGAAACAAGUCUAUGAAUAGGGAUUACGCACCGUACAUCGUCACCAGAAAAUUCGAAAUUCAACCGGCUGGAAGUCAACUGCCCGGCGAAAAGCGAAUGUGUUCAUUAACACUGAUAGCGCAUUCUACAACAGGAACGUCUACUAUCCCUCAUCUGAUCUCGAGGGAAACGCAGUUGCUUUCGCAGCUAAAAUCUGUAUGCGUUAUGUCAGAGCCGUCAACAUCUUUUACCAUGUUUGAACGAGGAAGGGUUGCUAAACACAAACGGAAAAAAAGACAAAAAAAGAGGAUUCGAUCAAUCGUGAUACAUGGCGCCGGUUCUGACUCUGGAGACAGUCCAAACGCAGAGUGCAGGGUAUCCGGUCACUCGGAGCUUAAUUCUGAAGAAAUUAAACGAUCAUAUAAAAUCUACAUGGAAGCUGUACGGUUAGGCCUUGUGCCCACACAACAAGAUCUCGAGGAGCGCGUAACUCUGGCUAACAGAGCUUAGUAAUCGAAGUUAACACUCCUUUUUAUUAGGCUAAAGCGUGUGAUUAUCGGUUUCUACGUCUGUACGAUGGUCCUGUCGUACUUAGUGAUAUGGCUUCUCAUAUUUGCCCUAAUUCUUCCGUUCGCGAGUAUUCUGCUGCAGAGAUUUGCUCGAGAAGCUCACCGCUCCGUGAGUUCAACUUCUGAAAGACCCGUUUUCGAGAAUGACUACGAAUCGAAUUAUCCGGAAUAUUCGAAUAUGUGAUUGGCCGAUAUUAGUCAUAGGACGCCGAUGCAGGUGUUACCAUACCGUCGCUGUUAUUUACAAUGCUCUCAACAAAAGCUAGAAAUCGCUUGGCGCGAAUGCUCCAGGAAAGCCACGAAACGCUGGUGAGGAAUGGACAAAAAAGAGUGAUCCAGCGCAGUCUAAUGUCAUUGCUGAACAUCACGUAGAGCAAUCUGCCGAGGUAUCGUGCAGCGUAAACUUGUAGUAGUGGUAAUUGAAGCACGCGGGGUAGAGUAGUUCAGAAGGCGAAUAUCUACUCAUAAGUUUCCUUUACCAAGAAGCUUUGUACUAUUUAUUGAUAUAUGCUAACGUAAACUGUGGGUUUCUAUGAUAAUUAUAAUGAAAAAAAAACAUUUAGCUCAUUUUAUACUGCAAAUAUACUAUGUUUUACAAACUGUUUCAUAAGUCUGCGCAAAUGACCCUCUAUUAUAAAUUAUUGGUGAAUUUGGUUGUUGCUGAUAAACUAUCUUAAUGUAACAUCAAAACUUGUGCAUUAGUGGCGGAAAGCUUCGUAGUUGACUGAACAUCAUGUAUUUUGGUAAACAGUAAGUACAAACAGUAAACACAAAGUAAGUGUAAGUCGCUUACCAAGUUUUCUAUCGUGUCCAGCGAUUCUAGCAUGCUUUAUAUAUCAGUCCUCCGUUUAGGGCUGAUAUAUAAGAAAAAAAAGCCCUAGACACUUGUUUAGCAUUUCCUAAUUCUUCAGCUUCUUUUUGAAUGGUCUAUUUGCCGAAGUGGAGGGACAAUCUCAAUAAGGAAAUACAGCCCCUCUCUGUAUCUGAACCAACUUAUAACGCAGCGGUAAUUUCAACGUUUGUUUAAACACUUAAAAUAAAAAAAAGGGCUGUGUCUAAUACAUUUCCUGCGAGGUGUUCAUCUCAAACAGUAGUGUCUACAUAGAACCGUGUAAGAGACUUAGUCCUCUAUUUUUAAAAGACACUUGCAAUCUACUUUAAUACCUAUUUGUCGCAAUCUACUUUAAUACCUAUUUGUCAU